rnacentral:rRNA from 1 species
UACGAAGGGGGCUAGCGUUGCUCGGAAUCACUGGGCGUAAAGGGUGCGUAGGCGGGUCUUUAAGUCAGGGGUGAAAUCCUGGAGCUCAACUCCAGAACUGCCUUUGAUACUGAGGAUCUUUGAGUUCGGGGAGAGGUGAGUGGAACUGCGAGUGUAGAGGUGAAAAUUCGUAGAUAUUCGCAAGAACACCAGUGGCGAAGGCGGCUC